rnacentral:rRNA from 1 species
AGUGAACGCUGGCGGUAGGCCUAACACAUGCCAGUCGAACGGCAGCACAGUAAGAGCUUGCUCUUACGGGUGGCGAGUGGCGGACGGGUGAGGAAUACAUCGGAAUCUACUUUUUCGUGGGGGAUAACGUAGGGAAACUUACGCUAAUACCGCAUACGACCUACGGGUGAAAGCAGGGGAUCUUCGGACCUUGCGCGAUUGAAUGAGCCGAUGCCGGAUUAGCUAGUUGGCGGGGUAAAGGCCCACCAAGGCGACGAUCCGUAGCUGGUCUGAGAGGAUGAUCAGCCACACUGGAACUGAGACACGGUCCAGACUCCUACGGGAGGCAGCAGUGGGGAAUAUUGGACAAUGGGCGCAAGCCUGAUCCAGCCAUACCGCGUGGGUGAAGAAGGCCUUCGGGUUGUAAAGCCCUUUUGUUGGGAAAGAAAAGCAGCAGGUUAAUACCCCGCUGUUCUGACGGUACCCAAAGAAUAAGCACCGGCUAACUUCGUG